rnacentral:tRNA from 1 species
UCGGCGCGUUCGCCUGGUAGUUCGGGUCGGCGAUGCUGUUGAUGUCGCUGACGUCGAAGUCGGGCUGUCCGCCGCUGUUCACAUCGGUGCCCGACGAG